rnacentral:rRNA from 1 species
GGCGACCGGCGCACGGGUGAGUAACACGUAUCCAACCUGCCGAUGACUCGGGGAUAGCCUUUCGAAAGAAAGAUUAAUACCCGAUGGCAUAGUUCUUCCGCAUGGUGGAACUAUUAAAGAAUUUCGGUCAUCGAUGGGGAUGCGUUCCAUUAGGUUGUUGGCGGGGUAACGGGCCCACCAAGCCUUCGAUGGAUAGGGGUUCUGAGAGGAAGGUCCCCCACAUUGGAACUGAGACACGGUCCAAACUCCUACGGGAGGCAGCAUG